CUGAGACGCAGGUCUUAAGAGUAGUUGCCAAAUCGGACUGCCCCAUUGGCCAGCGGGAGUUCAGGGUCUGUUGUUUGUGUGAAUAGAAGGACUCUCCCAGAAGCGAGCAGGGAGAUGUGGGAUUAAUGACCGGGAGUAACUGAGGCCAGUCUGUUUCUACACUCCAUAAAUGGGUCAGCAACAUGCUCAUCAAUGGCCAGUACCAUGGAGAAAAAAUUACCUCAAACUGCAGCCUGGUUUUUCUGUUGAAAGUUUCAUUCGAGAAGGCACAUCAAUCCACUGGUGCAAAAGAAGAUAACACCUCUGCCAUAGGAGAUUCAGCAGAAAAAGGCCAAACAGGUGAGCAUUUAAAAUUAAAAUAUCACUAGGAGAAAUCCUUGUCUGUCUAGUCUCCAAAAUGCAGAAGCCUGGCUUCGUUUUCCGGUAGUGUCAAAUCAGUGGGCACAUUCAAUCUUGCAGCUCUGCACAGAUCUGGCUGAACGUAAAGUAUGUUUAUUAGAUUCAGUCAGAUCUGCUUGCAGAUCCAG